UGGGGAAUUUUGGACAAUGGGCGAAAGCCUGAUCCAGCAAUGCCGCGUGUGUGAAGAAGGCCUUCGGGUUGUAAAGCACUUUUGUCCGGAAAGAAAUCCUUGGCUCUAAUACAGUCGGGGGAUGACGGUACCGGAAGAAUAAGCACCGGCUAACUACGUGCCAGCAGCCGCGGUAAUACGUAGGGUGCAAGCGUUAAUCGGAAUUACUGGGCGUAAAGCGUGCGCAGGCGGUUUGCUAAGACCGAUGUGAAAAUCCCCGGGCUCAACCUGGGAACUGCAUUGGUGACUGGCAGGCUAGAGUAUGGCAGAGGGGGGUAGAAUUCCACGUGUAGCAGUGAAAUGCGUAGAGAUGUGGAGGAAUACCGAUGGCGAAAGGCAGCCCCCUGGGCCAAAUACUGACGCUCAUGCACGAAAAGCGUGGGGAGCAAAACAGGAUUAGAUACCCUGGUAGUCCACGCCCUAAAACGAUGUCAACUAGUUGUUGGGGAUUC
rnacentral:rRNA from 1 species